ACGGGUGAGUAACACGUGGGCAACUGCCCCUCAGUUAGGAAUAACCCCGCGAAAGCGGGGCUAAUACCAGAUGACGUUCCGGCAUCCAAAGGGGCGCUGAGGGAUGGGCCUGCGGCUGAUUAGCUAGUUGGUGGGGUGACGGCCUACCAAGGCGACGAUCAGUAGCCGACCUGAGAGGGUGACCGGCCACACUGGGACUGAGACACGGCCCAGACUCCUACGGGAGGCAGCAGUGGGGAAUAUUGCGCAAUGGGCGAAAGCCUGACGCAGCGACGCCGCGUGGGUGAUGAAGGCCUUCGGGUCGUAAAACCCUGUCGGGUGGAACGAAUGACGGUACCACCGAAGGAAGCCCCGGCUAACUACGUGCCAGCAGCCGCGGUAAUACGUAGGGGGCGAGCG
rnacentral:rRNA from 1 species